rnacentral:rRNA from 1 species
GACGAACGCUGGCGGCGUGCUUAACACAUGCAAGUCGAACGCUGAAGCUCAGCUUUUGUUGGGUGGAUGAGUGGCGAACGGGUGAGUAACACGUGAGUAACCUGCCUCCUUCUUUGGGAUAACGCCCGGAAACGGGUGCUAAUACUGGAUAUUCACUGGUCUUCGCAUGGGGGUUGGUGGAAAGGGUUUUUCUGGUGGGGGAUGGGCUCGCGGCCUAUCAGCUUGUUGGUGGGGUGAUGGCCUACCAAGGCUUUGACGGGUAGCCGGCCUGAGAGGGUGACCGGUCACAUUGGGACUGAGAUACGGCCCAGACUCCUACGGGAGGCAGCAGUGGGGAAUAUUGCACAAUGGGCGCAAGCCUGAUGCAGCGACGCCGCGUGAGGGAUGGAGGCCUUCGGGUUGUGAACCUCUUUCGCCCAUGGUCAAGCCGCAACAAUGGUUGUGGUGAGGGUAGUGGGUAAAGAAGCGCCGGCUAACUACGUG